rnacentral:rRNA from 1 species
CAUUGGGUUUAAAGGGUGCGCAGGCGGAUUGGUAAGUCAGGGGUGAAAUCCACAGCUCAACUGUGAACUGCCUUUGAUACUGUCAGUCUAGAGUAUAGUGAAGUAGGCGGAAAUGUGUCAUGUAGCGGUGAAAUGCUUAGAUAUGACACAGAACACCGAUCGCGAAGGCAGCUAGCUAAGCUAUAACUGACGCUCAUGCACGAAAGCGUGGGGAUCAAACAGGAUUAGAUACCCUGGUAGUCCACGCUGUAAACGAUGAUUACUCGAUGUUGGCGAUACACAGUCAGCGUCUGAGCGAAAGCAAUAAGUAAUCCACCUGGGGAGUACGAUCGCAAGAUUGAAACUCAAAGGAAUUGACGGGGGCCCGCACAAGCGGAGGAGCAUGUGGUUUAAUUCGAUGAUACGCGAGGAACCUUACCUGGGCUCGAACGUAAGAUGACUGUAGGUGAAAGCUUACAUCUCUUCGGAGCAUUUUACGAGGUGCUGCAUGGUUGUCGUCAGCUCGUGCCGUGAGGUGUCGGGUUAAGUCCCAUAACGAGCGCAACCCCUACCUUUAGUUGCCAUCAGGUCAUGCUGGGGACUCUAAAGGAACUGCCUACGCAAGUAGUGAGGAAGGCGGGGAUGACGUCAAAUCAGCACGGCCCUUACGUCCAGGGCUACACACGUGCUACAAUGGCCGAUACAGAGGGCAGCUACCUGGUGACAGGAUGCAAAUCUCCAAAGUCGGUCUCAGUUCGGAUCGGAGUCUGCAACCCGACUCCGUGAAGUUGGAUUCGCUAGUAAUCGCGCAUCAGCCAUGGCGCGGUGAAUACGUUCCCGGGCCUUGUACACACCGCCCGUCAAGCCAUGGAAGCUGGGGGGACCUAAAGUCGAUAACCGCAAGGAGUCGCCUAGGGUAAAACCAGUGACUGGGGCUAAGUCGUAACAAGGUAGCCGAAUCGA